ensembl:lncRNA
AUGAUUUUGAAGGAACAUGACAUUGAUGUUCCAGCAGACGGACGAACACUAUUGAAAACACCUCGUUCUGGCAGUUUGAGAAUAACAGAAAAAUCAGGUGGCAAAUACACAUAUUUUGGAUUAAAGGAAGGUCUUACGCAUACUCUGUCUGAGCAAGACACUUCAAAAUACGACCACUUUGAGAUUUCUUUGAAUAUUGAUGGCCUACCCAUUUUCAAGUCCAAAAACCUCACAAUGUGGCCACUUCAGUGUGCUGUCAUCAACAUUGAUGAAGUGAAAAACAGUCCUUUUGUUGUUGCUCUGUUUUCUGGAGCAAAGAAACCAAAUGAUUUGGAGUUUUUGAGGGAUUUUAUGGAGGAGCUGCAAGAACUGAUGGAAACAGGCUUUAAAGGGAAGAGAAUUGUCCUCAAAAACAUCAUAUGUGAUGCACCAGCACGAGCCCUCAUCAAAGGAAUAGUUCAGUUUAAUGGCCGCUAUGGCUGUGACUUUUGUGAUGUAAAGGGAGUUCAUGAGAGCAAAAUGCUUUUUUUGUAUAAAGGAAAUCUCAGAACCAAUGAGUCAUUUAGACAGAAGACAAAUCCUGAACAUCACAAAACAGAUAGCAUUCUUUUGAAUCUGGACAUUGAUAUGAUCAGGCAGUUCCCAAUAGAUCCCAUGCAUUGUGACGAUCUAGGAGUGACUAAGCGAAUGUUGAUGCUGUGGAAAGAAGGACCUUUGGCCCAUAGAUUAUCAGCUGGACAUUUUAGCACCAUUACUUAUUUUCAUCAAGCUGUCCGACAUCACAUACCUCCUGAAUUCAAUAGGAAACCCAGGGGGUUAGAUGAACUGAAGCACUGGAAAGCAACUGAAUUCCGAACAUUUUUGCUUUAUACUGGACCAGUGAUUUUGAAAUAUGUUCUCGAUAAGGAGAAGUAUAUUCACUUCCUUUCACUUAGUAUUGGAAUGCGCAUCUUGUACAGUGAAAACCUAAUGGAGCAUCGUGAUUAUGCAGAUGAGCUGUUAACAUAUUUUGUUGAAAAAGGUAGCAGCCUGUAUAGCAUGAGUUUCAUCUCAUAUAAUGUGCAUUGCUUGCUACAUCUCACUGAUGUUGCAAAUUACAACAGAUCAUUACACUAUUGUUCAGCGUACAAGUUUGAGAACAAUAUGGGUCAAAUCAAGAGGUUUAUCCGCGGUUCAAGUGAUCCACUGAUUCAAGUAGCUAACAGAUUGGCAGAGAGGCAAGCAAUAUCAAGUUCUAAGAAAUCAAAUGUUAACUCUGGUACGCCAAAGACAAAAGAAUGUUACAGAAUGACCAAUGAUAGCUACUGCCUUAUACAUGGAGUUCAAGAAAAUCUGAUUUUUUGUGAGGUUUUUUGCAGAAUGGAACCUUUGUACACUAAGCCAUGUGACUCCAGAAUAAUUGGCAUAUUCAAAGGAUUUCGGAAUCACACUAAAAUGUUACAUACUGACACCACUCAACUGAGACAUAAAGCAAUCAUGAUACCUUUGUCAUUGAUUGAUAAAGAUGAAUACAAUGCGGUAGCGCUUAUACCGCUCAUGCAUUCAGUUUGA